rnacentral:lncRNA from 1 species
AUUUUAUUAGUAAUUUUGUUAUGUUACAUUUUUCACACAAUAUAAUUUAGUGUUGCAGAAAAAGAAUUUAAAAUUAUCUAAAAUUUUGUAGAAUUAUGCAAUUAUAUUGACUAUUAAAGUACAUAGGUAAAUCAAUAUAUAAGUUACAAAUCUGUAUAGACAAAACAAAAAAAUUUUAAAUUCAGCAUGCAUUUUGUGCCAAUAGAUAGCAGCAUCAAUGGGCUAGAAAUCAGAACUAAUGCUAUAUCUCUGCAUGCCAUGAUUAGCCAACUGUAACCAUUUUUACAUGGAGACUGUAUUAUAUAAAUGUAUACAAGAACAGUGCACAAUUGUGUGUUUUUUGUGGGCCAAAGGACUGGUCACAGAAGAAGUUUCAUAAAAAAAUGCUUCCAAUUUAUGACAAAGAGUGUAUGUUAAGAAAAGCUGUGUAUAAUUGGAUCCAGCAAUUCAACAAUGGACAAAUGAACAUCACAGAUGAGAAGCAUCAAAGUCAUCCAUGCUGACCAACAUGUAUUGAUAGAUGAUAUAGCUGGUAGUAUGGGAUGCUCUCAUGGAACUGCCUACAACAUCAUGCAUGAACAGCUAAAAUUCCAUAAAGUCUACAUACAACGGGUUCCAAACCAGUUAUCUGCUGAACGGAAGAGGCUUAUGCAUGCAGUACCCUCAUGUGACAUCAUUCAGAGGAGAAGGACUUCAUCAUGCAAAUUGUAACAGGGGACAAAUCAUGAGUCCACCACUUUCAACCAGAAUCAAAGCAUGAUUCCAUGGAAUGAAACAUCCCACCUUCCCAUCCAUCAAAAAGUUCAAGGUGAUGCCAAGAUUAUGUUAACCAUUUUUUGGAUGUCAUAUUGGCAGAAUUCAAGCUUCAUAGUGCAACUCUGUAGAAACAGUCCAUUCACUGAAAAUGCCCCCUGGUUUCCUGAACACAGGCAUGAUUCUCCUAGAUGAUAAUGAUCAAAGCUAACAGUUAACAGUACACUUGAGACAGAUGUACUCAGUACAUUGUCAACAAUCAAAGGAUUAAUUAAAAGAUAAAAGCCUUCAGCAGAUUAUAAUUCAAAGCCUUCAAGCUACAACAUAAAUAAAAUUAACAACUCAG